rnacentral:rRNA from 1 species
GACGGAGGGUGCAAGCGUUGCUCGGAAUCACUGGGCGUAAAGCGCACGUAGGCGGCUUUUUAAGUCGGUGGUGAAAUCCUGGAGCUCAACUCCAGAACUGCCUCCGAUACUGAAAGGCUCGAGUCCGGGAGAGGUGAGUGGAACUGCGAGUGUAGAGGUGAAAUUCGUAGAUAUUCGCAAGAACACCAGUGGCGAAGGCGGCUCACUGGCCCGGUACUGACGCUGAGGUGCGAAAGCGUGGGGAGCAAACAGG